rnacentral:lncRNA from 1 species
GUCCGUCUAUUCGUCUGUACGUACCAAAAUUGGUUUCCGAUCUCUAACUUAGUUUGCCUGUACCAAAUGUUAUGAAACUUAUACACAAUACGUAUUACCUCAAAACACAGGUCCAGUUCGAUUUGGUGAAGUCACUUUUACCAUCCUAGAGUUAUGCUCCUUAACAAAAGAAAAAAAGCGUUAAACAUUUUGUUUCCGUUUUCCAACUUUAGUUUGUUUCUACCAAAUGAUAUAAAACUUAUACACACGUUCAUUACCAAC